UAGCGGAGGGUGCAAGCGUUAUCCGGAUUCACUGGGUUUAAAGGGUGCGUAGGUGGGAAUGUAAGUCAGUGGUGAAAUCUCUGGGCUUAACUCAGAAACUGCCAUUGAUACUAUGUUUCUUGAAUUUUCAGGAGGUCAGCGGAAUAUCGUCAUGUAGCGGUGAAAUGCUUAGAUAUGACAUAGAACACCAAUUGCGAAGGCAGCUGGCUACAGGGAUAUUGACACUGAGGCACGAAAGCGUGGGGAUCAAACAGG
rnacentral:rRNA from 1 species